CCCGCCUGAAAACAGAAACGAAGCGAGUGCAACAGCUCAUCACUAANACGACAGGUCAAGGUGUAACUUAUAGGUUGGUCAGAGAUGGGCUACAUUUCCUAACAUAGGAAAUACCUAUCCCCCCAUCAAACUUGCUCAAAAAGGUGGAUUUAGCAGUAAGUCAGACAAGAAAAGCCUGCCUGAAACCCGCCCUGAAAUGUGU
rnacentral:rRNA from 1 species